rnacentral:rRNA from 1 species
AGAGUUUGAUCAUGGCUCAGAACGUACGCUGGCGGCACGCCUAACACAUGCAAGUCGAACGCAGUAGCAAUACUGAGUGGCGAACGGGUGAGUAUAAUGUGGGUAUCUGCCUUUUGGUUUGGAAUAACACGAGGAAACUUGUGCUAAUACCGGAUAAGCCUUCACAGGGAAAGCUUUAGCGCCAAAGGAUGAGCCUGCACUUGAUUAGCUAGUUGGUAAGGUAAUGGCUUACCAAGGCUACGAUCAAUAGCUGAUCUGAGAGGAUGAUCAGCCACAUUGGGACUGAGACACGGCCCAAACUCCUACGGGAGGCAGCAGUGGGGAAUCUUGCACAAUGGGGGAAACCCUGAUGCAGCGAUGCCGCGUGAGUGAAGAAGGCCUUUGGGUUGUAAAGCUCUUUCGUCGGGGAAGAAAAUGACUGUACCCGAAUAAGAAGGUCCGGCUAACUUCGUGCCAGCAGCCGCGGUAAUACGAAGGGACCUAGCGUAGUUCGGAAUUACUGGGCUUAAAGAGCUCGUAGGUGGUUAAAAAAGUUGGUGGUGAAAUCCCAGAGCUUAACUCUGGAACUGCCAUCAAAACUUUUUAGCUAGAGUAUGAUAGAGGAAAGCAGAAUUUCUAGUGUAGAGGUGAAAUUCGUAGAUAUUAGAAAGAAUACCGAUUGCGAAGGCAGCUUUCUGGAUCAUUACUGACACUGAGGAACGAAAGCAUGGGUAGCGAAGAGGAUUAGAUACCCUCGUAGUCCAUGCCGUAAACGAUGUGUGUUAGACGUUGGAAAUUUAUUUUCAGUGUCGCAGCGAAAGCGAUAAACACACCGCCUGGGGAGUACGACCGCAAGGUUAAAACUCAAAUGAAUUGACGGGGACCCGCACAAGUAGUGGAGCAUGUGGUUUAAUUCGAAGAUACGCGCAGAACCUUACCAACACUUGACAUGUUCGUCGCGACUCUAAGAGAUUAGAGUUUUCGGUUCGGCCGGACGAAACACAGGUGCUGCAUGGCUGUCGUCAGCUCGUGUCGUGAGAUGUUGGGUUAAGUCCCGCAACGAGCGCAA